rnacentral:misc_RNA from 1 species
GAAAUGCGAUAAGUAAUGUGAAUUGCAGAAUUCAGUGAAUCAUCGAAUCUUUGAACGCACCUUGCGCUCCUUGGUAUUCCUUGGAGCAUGCCUGUUUGAGUAUCAUGAAAUCUUCAAAGUAAAUCUUUUGUUAACUCAAUUGGUUUCUACUUUGGUAUUGGAGGUCUUUGCAGCUUCACACCUGCUCCUCUUUGUUCAUUAGCUGGAUCUCAGUGUUAUGCUUGGUUCCACUCGGCGUGAUAAGUUAUCUAUCGCUGAGGACACUGUAAAAGGUGGCCAAGGUAAAUGCAGAUGAACCGCUUCUAAUGUCCAUUGACUUGGACAAUACUUUUAUGAUCUGAUCUCAAAUCAGGUAGGACUACCCGCUGAACUUAAGC